rnacentral:rRNA from 1 species
AUUGAACGCUGGCGGCAGGCCUAACACAUGCAAGUCGAGCGGAUGAAGGGAGCUUGCUCCUGGAUUCAGCGGCGGACGGGUGAGUAAUGCCUAGGAAUCUGCCUGGUAGUGGGGGAUAACGUCCGGAAACGGGCGCUAAUACCGCAUACGUCCUGAGGGAGAAAGUGGGGGAUCUUCGGACCUCACGCUAUCAGAUGAGCCUAGGUCGGAUUAGCUAGUUGGUGGGGUAAAGGCCUACCAAGGCGACGAUCCGUAACUGGUCUGAGAGGAUGAUCAGUCACACUGGAACUGAGACACGGUCCAGACUCCUACGGGAGGCAGCAGUGGGGAAUAUUGGACAAUGGGCGAAAGCCUGAUCCGGCCAUGCCGCGUGUGUGAAGAAGGUCUUCGGAUUGUAAAGCACUUUAAGUUGGGAGGAAGGGCAGUAAGUUAAUACCUUGCUGCUUUGACGUUACCAACAGAAUAAGCACCGGCUAACUUCGUG